GACGAACGCUGGCGGCGUGCUUAACACAUGCAAGUCGAACGGAAAGGCCCUGCUUUUGUGGGGUGCUCGAGUGGCGAACGCGUGAGUAACACGUGAGUAACCUGCCCUUGACUUUGGGAUAACUUCAGGAAACUGGGGCUAAUACCGGAUAGGAUCUCCUGCUGCAUGGUGGGGGUUGGAAAGUUUCGGCGGUUGGGGAUGGACUCGCGGCUUAUCAGCUUGUUGGUGGGGUAGUGGCUUACCAAGGCUUUGACGGGUAGCCGGCCUGAGAGGGUGACCGGCCACAUUGGGACUGAGAUACGGACCAGACUCCUACGGGAGGCAGCAGUGGGGAAUAUUGCACAAUGGGGGGAAGCCAGAUGCAGCAACGCCGGGAGCGGAAUGACGGCCUUCGGGUUGUAAACCGCUUUCGCCUGUGACGAAGCGUGAGUGACGGUAAUGGGUAAAGAAGCACCGGCUAACUACGUG
rnacentral:rRNA from 1 species